CUCUGUGGAGAAGACGUAGGAGAACCUUCGCCAAUGUCUCCGUCAAUCUCUUCUCCGAGGUAGAACUCUCCCUCUACUUUUUCUCUCUGUUCUGUUACUAACCACCUUCUGUUACAGGUGACCGUUUUUUUGUUGACGAAGACACUUGUGCUGAUUUUAUAGCUCAGGUUGAGCUGGAUUGGCCUUAAACAAGACGAAGUCCGAUUUCCUUCUUCUCCUGUUUAUAUCAGCUUAGCCCAGUACCAAAGUCAGUUGGAGUAGACUAAAGUAAAGUCCAGCCCUCAAAACACUUUGGUCGUUUUUCUCUCUACUACCUCUUCGUUCUCCCUUCUCUCUAUAAAUGUCCAACUAAAAUCACUGUCAAACAGAAAACUUGAUCCAUCUCCUCCAAUUUAAAGCGACUGCGUCUUUCCCUCACGUAGAAAUCCUUUCUUCUUAUUUAUCUCAUGAGUUUUAAAUCGAUUCUAAGUUCUUUUAUACGAGAACGAAACUUACUUCUUCUGUUUUGAUUUGCAUGUUUACUUUCUCGGAACUACUCGAUGCAAGUUCCGCUUGUUCAAGACAACUCUG
rnacentral:lncRNA from 1 species